rnacentral:rRNA from 1 species
AUGCCUGUACCAUAACCGACACAGGUGGGUAGGUAGAGUAUACUAAGGGGCGCGAGAUAACUCUCUCUAAGGAACUCGGCAAAAUGACUCCGUAACUUCGGGAGAAGGAGUGCCUUAUUUAUAAGGUUGCAAUAACAAGAUCCAAGCAACUGUUUAUCAAAAACACAGGUCUCCGCUAAGUCGUAAGACGAUGCAUGGGGGCUGACGCCUGCCCAGUGCCAGAAGGUUAAAGAAGUUGGUUAGUGUAUGCGAAGCUGGUGACUGAAGCCCUGGUGAACGGCGGCCGUAACUAUAACGGUCCUAAGGUAGCGAAAUUCCUUGUCGGGUAAGUUCCGACCCGCACGAAAGGCGUAAUGAUUUGGAUACUGUCUCGGAGAGAGGCUCGGUGAAAUAGACUUGUCUGUGAAGAUGCGGACUACCUGCACCAGGACAGGAAGACCCUAUGAAGCUUUACUGUAACUUGGAAUUGGAAUUGGACUUUGCUUGCGCAGUAUAGGUGGGAAGCGUUGAAGAUAUUCUUGCGGGAGUAUUGGAGCUAUCAGUGAGAUACCACUCUUGUAAUGUUAGAUUUCUAACUUUGAACCAUAAUCUGGUCAAAGAACAGUUUCAGGUGGGCAGUUUGACUGGGGCGGUCGCCUCCCAAAUGGUAACGGAGGCGUACAAAGGUUUCCUCUGAACGGAUAGAAAUCGUAUCUAGAGUGUAAAGGCAUAAGGAAGCUUGACUGUGAGACCUACAAGUCGAGCAGGGACGAAAGUCGGUCUUAGUGAUCUGACGGUACUGAGUGGAAAGGCCGUCACUCAACGGAUAAAAGUUACUCUAGGAUAACAGGCUGAUCUCCCCCAAGAGUUCACAUCGACGGGGAGGUUUGGCACCUCGAUGUCGGCUCAUCGCAUCCUGGGGCGGUAGUACGUCCCAAGGGUUGGGCUGUUCGCCCAUGAAAGCGGUACGCGAGCUGGGUUCAGAACGUCGUGAGACAGUUCGGUCCAUAUCCGGUGUAGGCGUUAGAAUAUUGAGAGGAGCCUUCUUUAGUACGAGAGGACCGAGAAGGACACACCGCUGGUGUACCAGUUAUCGUGCCAACGGUAAACGCUGGGUAGCUAUGUGUGGAGUGGAUAACCGCUGAAAGCAUCUAAGUGAGAAGCCCACCUCAAGAUGAGUAUUCCCAUGGCGUUAGCCAGUAAGGUCACGGGCAGAACACCCGUUGAUAGGCUCUACGUGGAAGCCGGGCAACCGGUGAAGCGGAGGAAUACUAAUAGACCGAGGGCUUGACC